GAUGAACGCUGGCGGCGUGCCUAAUACAUGCAAGUCGAGCGAACAGACGAGGAGCUUGCUCCUCUGACGUUAGCGGCGGACGGGUGAGUAACACGUGGAUAACCUACCUAUAAGACUGGGAUAACUUCGGGAAACCGGAGCUAAUACCGGAUAAUAUAUUGAACCGCAUGGUUCAAUAGUGAAAGACGGUUUUGCUGUCACUUAUAGAUGGAUCCGCGCCGCAUUAGCUAGUUGGUAAGGUAACGGCUUACCAAGGCAACGAUGCGUAGCCGACCUGAGAGGGUGAUCGGCCACACUGGAACUGAGACACGGUCCAGACUCCUACGGGAGGCAGCAGUAGGGAAUCUUCCGCAAUGGGCGAAAGCUUGACGGAGCAACGCCGCGUGAGUGAUGAAGGUCUUCGGAUCGUAAAACUCUGUUAUUAGGGAAGAACAAAUGUGUAAGUAACUAUGCACGUCUUGACGGUACCUAAUCAGAAAGCCACGGCUAACUACGGG
rnacentral:rRNA from 1 species